AGAGUUUGAUCCUGGCUCAGAUUGAACGCUGGCGGAAUGCUUUACACAUGCAAGUCGAACGGCAGCACGGGAGCUUGCUCCUGGUGGCGAGUGGCGAACGGGUGAGUAAUGCGUCGGAACGUACCGAGUAAUGGGGGAUAACGCACCGAAAGGUGUGCUAAUACCGCAUACGCCCCAAGGGGGAAAGCAGGGGAUCGCAAGACCUGCGUUAUUCGAGCGGCCGACGUCUGAUUAGCUAGUUGGUGGGGUAAAGGCCUACCAAGGCGACGAUCAGUAGCGGGUCUGAGAGGAUGAUCCGCCACACUGGAACUGAGACACGGUCCAGACUCCUACGGGAGGCAGCAGUGGGGAAUUUUGGACAAUGGGGGCAACCCUGAUCCAGCCAUUCCGCGUGAGUGAAGAAGGCCUUCGGGUUGUAAAGCUCUUUCAGCUGGAACGAAACGGUACGCUCUAACAUAGCGUGCUAAUGACGGUACCAGCAGAAGAAGCACCGGCUAACUACGUGCCAGCAGCCGCGGUAAUACGUAGGGUGCGAGCGUUAAUCGGAAUUACUGGGCGUAAAGCGUGCGCAGGCGGAUUGUUAAGCAAGACGUGAAAUCCCCGGGCUUAACCUGGGAAUGGCGUUUUGAACUGGCAGUCUAGAGUGUGUCAGAGGGGGGUAGAAUUCCACGUGUAGCAGUGAAAUGCGUAGAGAUGUGGAGGAAUACCAAUGGCGAAGGCAGCCCCCUGGGAUAACACUGACGCUCAUGUACGAAAGCGUGGGUAGCAAACAGGAUUAGAUACCCUGGUAGUC
rnacentral:rRNA from 1 species